rnacentral:rRNA from 1 species
ACCAACGACUGCGCCACGUUGAAUACACCAGUUCUCGUCCGAUCACUGAAGUUAAGCGACGUCGGGCGUGAUCAGCACUCGGAUGGUGACCCUCUGGGAGAUCACGUGUUGUUGGUU